rnacentral:miRNA from 1 species
CGUGAAUGCGCUGUAUGUAAGG